rnacentral:lncRNA from 1 species
UCACCAGAGUCAGACUUAGGGAGAGGUAGCUUGCCUUUGAAUUUAAUUCCUGCUGCUUUGCCUUUUAUGUAUUUAUAUUAGCUAAAGUAGCUUCCAUACAAAAGGAAGAGACCAGUCCCAGAAACUCAGAAGACUGGAAAUUAAGUUUUAGUGUCUUGGAAUUGAGAGGUUUCAAGAUGAAUCUGAGAGGAAACAACUGUGCUUGUGAGAAAAGUUUUUGUCCUGAAAGUGCCCUGUUUAAGAAAAAAAAAAAUUGAGUAGUCUAUAUAUUGUAACUACAACCAAAUAUAUUUCUCUGUGAACUGUGAAAGGUUCUGCCUGUGCCUUUCUUGAUCUGCUUCUAAAAAUGGAAUAUUCCGGGUGUGAGUUCAUUUACAACAGAGAGCUGCUUCUGAUUUACCCUCAUGCAAGUUAGAACAGCAGUUAGAUCAGGAUUUUAGUUUUAGCAUGCAGACUGCUACAACUGGAAACUCCAAAAAGGCAUUGUAAGAGGUGGGGAUUAUAUAUUUGUAUUGGGAGAUGCAGUAAGCAGAUUAAUCUCAGCUUAAAUUAUUAGCCAUGAGUGUUUUUUGAAUAAGGUCUCGUUAAUACCCAUGGCACAGAUACUUUAAAAAAAUCAACAGUCUUAAUCUAAAAUCAUAGCUAUUUAAUACAUACAAAGUCAGCAACAGGAAAGUCAGUGUUUUGCCACUAUUUUAAACAAAAUCUCUAUUAGCUGACAGUUACACAAACAUGGAAUAUGUCUCUAGCCAAGGG